AUUCCUUUAAGUGAACUGCGAAAGAAGAUUCAUUCUUCUUUCGAUUCAGCCUUGCGACCGUACUCCCCAGGCGGCGAGCUUAACGGCUUCCCUGCGACACUUCGAUCGCGAACUGCGAUCGAAUCAUCUAGCUCGCAUCGUUUACGGCUGGGACUACCCGGGUAUCUAAUCCGGUUCGCUCCCCCAGCUUUCACCCCUCACCGUCGAGCGCGUUCUGGCGGACCGCCUUCGCCACUGGUGGUCUUCCGCGGAUCAAAGGAUUUUACCCCUACACGCGGAGUACCGUCCGCCUCUCCCGCCUCCUAGUCCCGCAGUAUCCUCUGCAGGCCAGCCGUUGAGCGACUGGAUUUAACAGAGGACUUACGGAACCGGCUACGGGUGCUUUAGGCCCAAUAAUCGUCCCGACCACUCGAGGAGCUGGUAUUACCGCGGCGGCUGACACCAGACUUGCCCUCCCCUUAUUC
rnacentral:rRNA from 1 species